rnacentral:rRNA from 1 species
AUGUGCUUGGGCACGGCGCGCCACCUACCGUUUUCCCUUCCCUCCCCCCGAAAUCUGAAUCCAAAUCUCGGCCGACCCCGCCGCCCCAUGCCUCCCUCGCCGCCGCAGCCGCCGCCGCCGGCCACGGAGGAGGUCGAGUUCGAGGUGGAGGACGCCUCCGACGACGAGGCGGCGGGGGGAGAGGCGCCGCCGCUUGCCCCGGCCCCGGCCCCUGCCCCGCCGGCCGGCGGGGGCGCCGAGGCGAGCCGUGCCGCGUCGGGGUCCGGGGAGGCGGCGGGCGGAGAAGGGGCCGACGAGGAGGACGAGGACGAGGAUGAGGACGACGAAGAAGACGACUCCGACGACGAAGAAGACGAGGAUUCGGAGGAUGAAGGGGACGAGGACGAGGACGAGGACGAAGACUCCGACGAGGAGGGCUACGACGACGACGACGAAGACGAAGACGAGGACUCCGAUGAGGACGAUGACGACGAGGAGGACGAGGACGACGAAGACGACGACGAGGACGACGACGAGUAG